rnacentral:rRNA from 1 species
GACGAACGCUGGCGGCGUGCUUAACACAUGCAAGUCGAACGAUGAAGCCUAGCUUGCUAGGUGGAUUAGUGGCGAACGGGUGAGUAAUACGUGAGUGACCUACCUUUGACUCUGGGAUAAGCCUGGGAAACUGGGCCUAAUACCGGAUACGACCAAUCUCCGCAUGGGGUGUUGGUGGAAAGCGUUAUGGAGUGGUUUUAGAUGGGCUCACGGCCUAUCAGCUUGUUGGUGAGGUAAUGGCUUACCAAGGCGACGACGGGUAGCCGGCCUGAGAGGGUGACCGGCCACACUGGGACUGAGACACGGCCCAGACUCCUACGGGAGGCAGCAGUGGGGAAUAUUGCACAAUGGGCGCAAGCCUGAUGCAGCGACGCCGCGUGAGGGAUGACGGCCUUCGGGUUGUAAACCUCUGUUAGCAUCGAAGAAGCGAAAGUGACGGUAGGUGCAGAGAAAGCGCCGGCUAACUACGUG